rnacentral:rRNA from 1 species
CACUCCUACGGGAGGCAGCAGUGGGGAAUAUUGGACAAUGGGCGCAAGCCUGAUCCAGCCAUGCCGCGUGAGUGAUGAAGGCCCUAGGGUUGUAAAGCUCUUUCACCGGUGAAGAUAAUGACGGUAACCGGAGAAGAAGCCCCGGCUAACUUCGUGCCAGCAGCCGCGGUAAUACGAAGGGGGCUAGCGUUGUUCGGAUUUACUGGGCGUAAAGCGCACGUAGGCGGACUAUUAAGUCAGGGGUGAAAUCCCGGGGCUCAACCCCGGAACUGCCUUUGAUACUGGUAGUCUUGAGUUCGAGAGAGGUGAGUGGAAUUCCGAGUGUAGAGGUGAAAUUCGUAGAUAUUCGGAGGAACACCAGUGGCGAAGGCGGCUCACUGGCUCGAUACUGACGCUGAGGUGCGAAAGCGUGGGGAGCAAACAGGAUUAGAAACCCGAGUAGUCCCAUG